rnacentral:rRNA from 1 species
UACGUAGGGUGCAGGCGUUAAUCGGAAUUACUGGGCGUAAAGCGUGCGCAGGCGGUUCGCUAAGACAGGUGUGAAAUCCCCGGGCUUAACCUGGGAACUGCGCUUGUAACUGGCAAGCUAGAGUGUGGCAGAGGGGGGUGGAAUUCCACGUGUAGCAGUGAAAUGCGUAGAGAUGUGGAGGAACACCGAUGGCGAAGGCAGCCCCCUGGGCUAACACUGACGCUCAUGCACGAAAGCGUGGGGAGCAAACAGG